CAUCAACUCAACUCGCCGUGUUUGGAGGAGGAGGAAUGCUGCCUAUGACCCCAAGAACACCAUCCCCACCGUCAAACAUGGAGGUGGAAACAUUAUGCUUUGGGGGUGUUUUUCUGCUAAGGGUACAGGACAACUGCACCGCAUCAAAGGGACAAUGGACAAAGAUACCGUCAUAUCUUGGGUGAGAACCUCCUUCCCUCAGCCAGGGCAUUGAAAAUGGGUCGUGGAUGGGUAUUCCAGCAUGACAAUGACCCAAAACACAAAGCCAAGACAACAAAGGAGUGGCUCAAGAAGAAGCACAUUAAGGUCCUGGAAUGGCCCAGCCAGACCAGGCCUUAAUCCCAUAAAAAAUAUGUGGAGGGAGCUGAAGGUUCGAGUUGCCAAAUGUCAGCCUCGAAACCUUAAUGACUUGGAGACGAUCUGCAAAGAGGAGUGGGACAAAAGCCCUCCUGAGAUGUCUGCAAACCUGGUGGGCAACUACGAGAAACGUC